rnacentral:rRNA from 1 species
UACGUAGGUGGCAAGCGUUGUCCGGAUUUAUUGGGCGUAAAGGGUGCGUAGGUGGUUUCUUAAGUCAGAGGUGAAAGGCUACGGCUCAACCGUAGUAAGCCUUUGAAACUGGGAAACUUGAGUGCAGGAGAGGAGAGUGGAAUUCCUAGUGUAGCGGUGAAAUGCGUAGAUAUUAGGAGGAACACCAGUUGCGAAGGCGGCUCUCUGGACUGUAACUGACACUGAGGCACGAAAGCGUGGGGAGCAAACAGGAUUAGAUACCCUGGUAGUCCCUGA